rnacentral:rRNA from 1 species
AACUAUAACGGUCCUAAGGUAGCGAAAUUCCUUGUCAGGUAAGUUCUGACCCGCACGAAUGGCGUAAUGAUUUGGGCACUGUCUCAACAGCCCGCCCGGCGAAAUUGUAGUACUGGUGAAGAUGCCAGUUACCCGCAACUAGACGGAAAGACCCCAUGGAGCUUUACUGUAGCUUAAUACUGAAGAUCGGUAAUGCAUGUACAGGAUAGGUGGGAGCCUAGGAAACCCGGGCGUCAGCUUGGGCGGAGGCAACCUUGGAAUACCACCCUUGUAUUGCUGGUUUUCUAACCUGCGGCCAUGAAUCUGGUCGGGGGACACUGUUAGGUGGGCAGUUUGACUGGGGCGGUCGCCUCCAAAAGCGUAACGGAGGCGCUCAAAGGUUGGCUCAGCACGGACGGAAAUCGUGCAUAGAGUGCAAACGCAUAAGCCAACUUGACUGCGAGACCGACGGGUCGAGCAGGUACGAAAGUAGGAGUUAGUGAUCCGGUGGUAUGUGAGUGGAAAUGCCAUCGCUCAACGGAUAAAAGCUACCCUGGGGAUAACAGGCUGAUCUCCCCCAAGCGUCCACAGCGACGGGGAGGUUUGGCACCUCGAUGUCGGCUCGUCACAUCCUGGGGCUGAAUUCGGUCCCAAGGGUUCGGCUGUUCGCCGAUUAAAGUGGCACGCGAGCUGGGUUCAGAACGUCGUGAGACAGUUCGGUCCCUAUCUGUUGCGGGCGCAGGAGAUUUGAAGGGAGCUGUCCUUAGUACGAGAGGACCGGGAUGGACAGACCUCUGGUGCACCAGUUGUCGUGCCAACGGCACAGCUGGGUAGCUACGUCUGGACGAGAUAAACGCUGAAAGCAUCUAAGUGUGAAACUCCCCCUAAGAUAAGAUCUCCCAUCCUUUAUGGAGUAAGGGACGACAAAGACUAUGUCGUUGAUAGGUCGGAAGUGUAAGUGCAGUAAUGCAUUGAGCUGACCGAUACUAAUAACCCGAGGGCUUGACCU